UUAACUCAAAUUUGUAUAGAGUUGGAACGUUGGCCGCUAGGGGCGCUGUUCCAACUCCAAACAAAUUUUAGUUC
rfam:Bombyx mori DNA, contig: Bm_scaf46_contig25029, strain: p50T/Dazao, build 2, whole genome shotgun sequence.